rnacentral:lncRNA from 1 species
GUAAACUUGAAGUUUGAAACAAGUUAUACUUAUCCUAUUCGAGUUAUGUUUAGGAAAUAGGUAUUACUAAUGAGUUUACGGAUUUUAUAUCUCUAUAUAAAGAGAUGCUAUAUUGUGGCAUAACCUAUCAGUUUUAGAGAUCUUGUGAGAGUUUAAGCUUUAAGAUAGUUUUAUUCUUAUUGAUCUUUGAGUUCUAAACACUUUUGUUACAACAAUAUUUGGUAUCAGAGCCUCUUCAGAACAUGGGAGAGAUCCAAAGAAAAUUCAAGGCUAAAUUUGCAGACUACACACAUGUAAUUGUCCCUGCCUUGAGUCUUGACAAUUAAGAUUUAUGAUACAGAGAAAUAUGUGAAACAAAUUAUUAUAAUGGAAACACACAGAAAAGACAUUUUCAAAUGCGCCAAAACUUAAGUUAUCUACUGGUUGAAUAAUCUAUGGGUC